ACAGCCGUUGGAUCGUUCUGGACAAUUAAUAAAUCACACCCCCUUCUCAAUGCUUCGCUCUCACCGUCAAAUUCCAUUACCCCUUUUUCGUUAUAUCUCUUCUCCUUGAUUUCUCAACUUUGAAUUCGUUCGACGAUCUGCGUUUUGAUUAUGGAUUCGAGUGUUUUCGUUGAGCGAUUCGCUUCCGAUCUUCGAUUCAGAGAUAUGUGGUUCAAGACUCAUCCUUUCUUCGGCCAAGGGUGAAUUGACUGGAAAUCGAAAGAUCUAUCGAGGUUCUUGAUGUUUGUUCUGAACCAUUAGUGCUCGGGCUUUGUUCGUCUGGUUCGAUGCGAAACCUUGCUGUCCUUCUGAAAUUCUUGAGACCUAAAACGCUUGGUUAAAUCGGUGCAAUCAAUUCAGAUCUCGUGAUUCUUUAUGGAUUCAGAUCGGAUUUUGAUAUGAAGCUGUGAAGGAUUGCUAAAGUGUUUCUUUAUGCUUUUUUUGAUGUGCUUUCUUUUGUCAUCUUCUUGGUAUAAUAAAGAAGAUAGUUUAUGUGUGUGUGUUUUCGGUGUGUACGAGAGGGGCAUAGCCUAGGGUAACAAAAAAAUGUGAGAUGUGUAAUGCUCUACUGGUUGUCAAUCGACCUUUGCCAUGUCAGGUGCGCUUGCUUGGCAGGUCAAAAAAACCCUAAUAAAAAGUUUGUUUUGUGUUUGAGGGGGAGAUGGUACGGGGUUUUGCCCGGCUCUCCCCUUCUUGUGUGUUGCGUCUUUUUUUUUCUCUUGAUUUUGUCCUCCCCAAUUCUCUCUCCAAUCCAAUCAGUUGUUCAUCGUGUCUUUAUUUGUCUCUCGAAUGGUUGAUUUUACAUCGAUUCGAAACAAAUAGGGACAUCAACACGCCAACUAUUUUUAUUCAUCAAGCAAGCAAACGCAAGGAUGGGAUUAGUACAUCAUGACUAUUCAGUCCAAGAGCGUUGCAGCAGAGUAAAGACUCUUGAUUCCUCUCUGCUAGCUGGAGAGGAUGAAUUUUAGCGGCUUUGAUCAUUUGAAGGAAUAAAUUCAUGCAUUGCAGAAAAGAAUUUUUUUUGGUCAUGUUGGUGCGAGAGGAGACAUUACUUUAUUUUGUGGUGAUCUCAUAAUUUUUUUUGCUAUUUCUUGAUGCUGCUUAGUUUUUGUAGCUAAUGUGACAGUAUUUGAAUUGUAUUGGUUCUGAUUUUGGGGUAGAGCAUGUCUAAUUCAAAUCUUGAUUCUUCAUGUGUAGAUUUUGUGGUGUUAACUUUUUUAUUUUUUUGGCAGAUGUUGGAGUCCUUUAUACUAGUGUUUCUUGAGGGUAUGUGUGAACUCUGUUGUUGAAAAUUGUCACAUUGAUUGUAGAGAAUAAAUUGCUUGUAGUUUCCUUUAUACACUAAACUAGCUGGACAGUUAUUAUCUAACAUUGCAAAUUGCAAUUUUUACCAUAAUGAUUUUUAUAUUUUAUUUUACCCUAGGGUGCGGCCCCAAAUGCAUUGUAGGAAGUAAAGUGUGCAGUUCAGCAUUGGAUAUCUGCUUGUGUUUGCCAUUUGUUGUAUUUACUUAAUAUGUUGUGGUGCUGAUCCCCAGGAGGCUUGAGUUGGAAGUGUUGUUGGGUCAUCUAACGUGUGAGAUAGAUUUCUAGAGUUUGCUUCUGACACGCCAUGUUUGCUAAGGUGUUGCAAUGCCACAAUAAGGUAUUUCUUUACUCUAUAGGAAUUAGGAAUCUGUCUAGUCUUUGUAACUGUUUUGGAUAAAAAUAUGCGUAGGUAUUUGUGAAGAGAAAAAGGGGUAGGUUUCUAGUUAAUUGGUUUUCUUUUUUUUCUUUGGUUUUUAUUUGUAGAAUUUUUUAAAUAUGGUUUGAGAAUAAAAUUGUAUUUUGAAUUUGUGAGUUUUGAAAAUAUGAUUUGAGUGAUAGUAGUUUGGUUAUAAUUUUUGAAAGUUUUGGAGGGUGUUUUGAGUUUUUAAAAUUAGGAAAGUUAUUUGAUUUAAAAAUUUAUAAUUCAUAACAGAACACAAUUUAUAAUUCUAUUCAAAAUUUAUAAAAAUUUAAAAAAUUUGAAAAAUACUUUUUAUUUACGAUAUAAAAAUAAUAGCAGGUGUCAAAAAAAAAAAAAUGAAUAUUGUUUUGGUCAAUCGAUCGGACGUUUGGGAAGACGAUCGGGUUAGUCAAAUUUGUCUACUUGGAAAGGAGUUUUUAAAAGUGGGUGAGGAGUUAUAAUUUGAAAAUUGAAAAACAAGCGCAACACCCGUGAAAGUGGGUGGAAAUGUGUUUGGCAAACAUAACCAAGCAUAGUCUUUAUUUCUCUAUACGAAUUUUUCUACAAAUAAUAUUGUCAGUUUGAGAGCAUCUCCAAUGAUGCGUCAAAAUUUUUAUCAAAUUUGAGUAAAAGUAUUUUUUGACAGCACUUGUUUCAACGGAGAGUUUUGGUUUUUCAUCAAAUCACUUGAUGAUUGGAUGGAUGACCCGUUAGUGAAAUUUUUACAAAAUUUUGUUUUGAGGUGGUCAUAGGAGACAUUCGACCAUCUUUAGUUUGGUGAAAUAUUUUUGAUUUUUUCAUUUUGAUAUUUGUUUUAUGAAAUCAUUAGAGUAGAAAAAAUGGUUACUUUUUGCCAAAUUUGAAUUUGGUGGAGGAUAUGGUACACGGUUGGAGAUGUUGCUUUAUGAAUAUUUUUUGGAGAUGGCCUUAUGAAUCAUUUUUUGGUGAAAACUAUUUGUUGUGUGAUGCCAUCUCUAAUGGUGCAUCAAAUUGUGCAUCAGAUUUGAAAUUUGAUGAAAGUCAUUUUUUUUUUCUUUCAAUGGUUUCACCAAACUGAUUUCAAAAUUGAGAAUUAAGCAAAAAUUUUACUAAAUUGAGAAUGCGUUGGGUCUUUCACCAAAAAUUAUUCAUUACCGUUGUAUUUUUACUACUGCAUGAUCUCGGAUGAUUAAUUUUGCAUAAAUUUUUUUAUUGAUUUUACACUGGGAGGUCAACCACGCAGUCGGCCCUUUGGAUGAUCCUCAAGCUUGAAAAUUCAAUGACAGAAUUGUACAGAUUUUGCUCUUUUUGGUCGACCGGCCGGUCGUCCACCUGGACGUUUGGUACGUUUUGAUAAAAGCUACAGUACAUAGGAGUGAUUGAUAUCAGAUUGAGCCAAUUUUUUUUUUUUAACCCAAAUUUGAUGAAAAUUUUGUUCAACUGUUGGUGAUGUUCUUCAAUGAUGUUUUGAUGAAAUCGGGUGGAACUCUAUUAUUUUAUUUAUCUAACUCUGUUAUUUUAUUUAUCGUCGUUGACCUCAAGUGAGGUGUGAGAAUUGCUCACUUUUUAGUAAUUUAUUUAUUAACUAAUGAGAACGUUAUCAUUUUAUUCA